rnacentral:rRNA from 1 species
AGAGUUUGAUCCUGGCUCAGAACGAACGCUGGCGGCAUGCCUAACACAUGCAAGUCGAACGCCAUGGUUUCGGCCAUGGAGUGGCGCACGGGUGAGUAACGCGUGGGAACCUGCCCAGCAGUAUGGGACAACCGCGGGAAACUGCGGCUAAUACCGUAUACGCCCCUGCAAGGGGGGAAAGAUUGAUCGCUGUUGGAGGGUGCCCGCGUCGGAUUAGGUAGUUGGUGGGGUAAUGGCCUACCAAGCCUGCGAUCCGUAGCUGGUCUGAGAGGAUGAUCAGCCACACUGGGAUUGAGAUACGGCCCAGACUCCUACGGGAGGCAGCAGUCGAGAAUAGUCUACAAUGGACGAAAGUCUGAUAGUGCGACGCCGCGUGAACGAAGAAGCCCUUCGGGGUGUAAAGUUCUUUUAUAUGUGAGCAAUGCUUCUUAGGUGAAUAGUUUAAGGAGAGAGAUAUUAGCAUAUGAAUAAGCAACGGCUAACUCCGUGCCAGCAGCCGCGGUAACACGGGGGUUGCAAGCGUUGUCCGGAAUUACUAGGCGUAAAGGGCAGGUAGGCGGAUAGAUAAGUUUGAUGUUUAAGGCAGCGGCUCACCCGCUGUAAGGCAUCAGAUACUGUUUAUCUGGAAUACGGUUGGGGAAGACAGAAUUCCUGGUGUAGCGGUGGAAUGCGCAGAGAUCAGGAGGAAUACCGAAGGCGAAGGCAGUCUUCUAAGCCGUUAUUGACGCUAAACUGCGAAGGUGUGGGUAUCAAACAGGAUUAGAUACCCUGGUAGUCCACACAGUAAACGAUAAUCACUAGGUGUUGGGUUCGAAGAGGAUUCGGUGCCGUAGCUAACGCGAUAAGUGAUUCGCCUGGGGAGUACGAUCGCAAGGUUGAAACUCAAAGGAAUUGACGG